CCCAAGAUCCGACCGUGAUAAUAGCCCGUAUGUAUACAUUUGUAUACUAAAUUGCAGUAGCUUAUACAUUUGUAUACAUUUUCCUUAUUCAGUUUCAGACUAAAACAAACAUACGACGAUGGUGAAUCUUCUUCCACAGUUCAAAGACAAAACCAAAACGUGCAAGAAACUGUCAAACAUUAAUUCCACUAUCAGACUCCACUUAUUUUGUUAAGAAGUAGUAUUUAUAAGUAGAAUAACUUUUUGAGAAAAUUUCAGGGAUUUUAAAUACAUUAAUAAAAUUAAAUAAGGUUUUUUUUUUUCUUUCUAAAACUGUUUUUCUUGACAAAAGUUACUCCGCAUUAGAAUAAUCAUGGAUCCUCUCCGAUCAUUGAAGGGUCUGUAGAACGUUAGCCACUUAAUUGAUUGUAUUAAAUCGAGUCAAAAUCAUAAGAAAUAGUUGAAUGAUAGAGAUUUACAUUGCUUCCACUAAAAAUCCACAAGAGAGAAUCCCAAUCCGUGUUAGAUUAUCCUCCUUGAUGAAUUCAGCAUAACAUUAUUUAAAACAACCUAUUCAAUAUUUACUCCAAAACACAUGUUGAGACCUAAGAUAUUUUUUUUUACAAGUCCAUAAUAGUUUUAUACUAAGAUUAUUAUUAUUAUUUUUUUAAAACAAAUGCUGACAUGUGUUAUAAAGAUACACAUUAAAGAACCACGUAUCAUCACCUUGUUAUCAAAUUCUUAAAAAUAUGAUCAUUCCCUUUUUCAAUUUAAAAUUUCUACUUUUGAAUUCUUAUCACGUGUGUUAAUUUUUUUUUUUUUUUUAAAUCAAAUAUACAAAAUCAUUAAUUAAAUUCACCUUUUUCAUUGAAGGAAGUGACCAAAAUACCCAUAUUUUAAAACAAUCGGUAGUAUUGAUAAGAGGUAUAUUUGGAAAAAAAUAAUAAAUGUAUCUAAAAAUUUGUAGAUGAUCUUAUAUUUAAGGACAAACAUUUUUUUAUAAAUAGUUUUUUAAUUAGGAACGAAUGAAGUAUACAACUGUUUCAAAAUUACUUUUCAUAUUUGAAAACAAAAUAAUAGCAUUAGAAAUGAACGUAUUUAAAAAAAAAAUGCAUUUAAAAAUUUGUAUAUUCAAAAACAAACAAUUUUUUUAUAAAUAACCUUAUAAUUAAAAAACAGAUAAAGUAUAUUAUGCCUGGUAUAUUAUUCCUUAACAUAAUAGUUUACUAUCUCCGUUCCUUUUUUAAUUGUCACUUUUUGAAAUUUUACACAAACCAAGACAAUUAAUAAAUGUUACUAUUUUUGAUACAAUUGUUUUUACUUUUACUAUAAUGACCUUAUUAAUUUAAUAUUUCAUUUUAUAUGCUUCUCUCUCCGCAAUAAAUAUCUAAGGGUAAUAUUAGUAAAACAACAUUUAAUAUUACAUUGAAGUAUUGAACUUUGAAAAUGACAGUUAAAUAAGAACAAAAUUUUUCUCUAAAAGUGACAAUUAAAAAGGAGAAAGUAUAAAGUAAUUAACUGUGUCACUUAAUAUUACAUGAAAGAGUAAUAUUCAUACAAAUAUUUGUGUCUACAAUUACCACAACUUUAAUUUUUUUAGGGAAAAUAACACAACUUUAUUAAAAUCACAAAAGCAAAUCCCAAUAAUAAAUAUUCCCUCCGUCCCUUACUAUUUGAUUCAUUUGAAAUUUUUUUAAUUUUGACCUAACUAAUUUUGACCGUAUUUUUCAACUAAUAUACAAAGAUAAAUAACAUCAUAUAAGAUGUCGUUAGAUUCGUCUCGAUGAGUAUUUUCAAAAUAUCAAAUUUUUAUAAUUUUUUCUAAUAUAUUAUUCAAGAUAUUUAAGCUCAAAGUUAUGCAUUGACAUGCAUAAUAAGAUCAAUUGUGUCAAGUAUUAAAGGACGGAAAGGGACGGAGGGAGUAGCUCUUCUUUGAAAAACCAAAGAAAGAAUAUGUAAGUGGAGAUUGAGUGUCAGAAUUCAAACCUGUAGCAGUCAGUGGUGCCUUCCUUCCUGUUCCAAAAUCUCCCUAUUCUCAAUGCUACUCCCCUAAACAAAACAAUCCAUAACCAAAUCAAAAUCACAUUUUUCAUCAUAUAAAAAUUCUUAAUCUCAUCCUCUCUUUUCAUUACAUUCUCCCAAUAAAUAACUAAAACCAAAACCAAAAUCUCAAACCUUGUUGCAAAAAUGAACAUGUUAGGCCUAAGAGACUUAGUUCUCAUAGCUCAAACUCCUUCAUCACUUCACAACCAACAAAACCAAACCAUUUC
rnacentral:lncRNA from 1 species